GGGACAACAUCCCGAAGGGGGUGCUAAUACCGAAUGUGACAGCAAUCUCGCAUGAGGAUGCUGUGAAAGAUGGCCUCUAUUUAUAAGCUAUCGCUAGAGGAUGGGCCUGCGUCUGAUUAGCUAGUUGGUGGGGUAACGGCCUACCAAGGCGAUGAUCAGUAGCCGGUCUGAGAGGAUGAACGGCCACAUUGGGACUGAGACACGGCCCAGACUCCUACGGGAGGCAGCAGUGGGGAAUCUUCCGCAAUGGGCGAAAGCCUGACGGAGCAAUGCCGCGUGAGUGAUGAAGGAAUUCGUUCCGUAAAGCUCUUUUGUUUAUGACGAAUGUGCAGGUUGUGAAUAAUGACUUGUAAUGACGGUAGUAAACGAAUAAGCCACGGCUAACUACGUGCCAGCAGCCGCGGUAAUACGUAGGUGGCGAGCGUUGUCCGGAAUUAUUGGGCGUAAAGAGCAUGUAGGCGGUUUUUUAAGUCUGGAGUGAAAAUGCGGGGCUCAACCCCGUAUGGCUCUGGAUACUGGAAGACUUGAGUGCAGGAGAGGAAAGGGGAAUUCCCAGUGUAGCGGUGAAAUGCGUAGAUAUUGGGAGGAACACCAGUGGCGAAGGCGCCUUUCUGGACUGUGUCUG
rnacentral:rRNA from 1 species